GUGAGGUAACGGCUCACCAAGGCGACGACGGGUAGCUGGUCUGAGAGGACGAUCAGCCACACUGGGACUGAGACACGGCCCAGACUCCUACGGGAGGCAGCAGUGGGGAAUCUUGCGCAAUGGGCGACAGCCUGAAGCAGCGACGCCGCGUGGGCGAUGAAGGCCUUAGGGUCGUAAACCCCUUUCAGCCGGGACGAAGAUGACGGUACCUGCAGAAGAAGCCCCGGCAAACUACGUGCCAGCAGCCGCGGUAAU
rnacentral:rRNA from 1 species